rnacentral:lncRNA from 1 species
ACAAUGAACUCAGCUUGAGGGCAAGUCUUGAAAUAGUAGCCCUUAUGGAGCUGAGCUUCUAAUUUGGUAGCACUCAGGCAGAAGGCCAACACAAAGGCUAGCAACACCCGCCCUCCCCUUCUAAAAGCCAUCGCUAUCUCCUUUUCCUAUCUCACUCCGUCUAGGAACUUGGCAUGAUCACGACUUGCAUCGAAUGACUACUAUUUAUAAGGAAAGAACGUGAGAGAAGUUUCGUUAUUUUACUCAUUGAGCCGUUUAUUUAGCGAGCGAUCGAGGUCGUGUGCGAAGAGCUGGAAGCGGAUGGAGGUUGGGGCCAAAUGGUGCCAAGUUGAUCGGCUCCCCCAAAUGAUAGAAUUAAAUAG